CAGGCCUGCAGCCUUGUAAAAAGAGAAAAAAAAUUUUGUGGCACUUGUUGGCAAGUGGAUAGAAGCAGAGAUGGUAGUGAGUGGAAGAAACAUGUGCUGUCCACCCAGGAGGAGUCUGUCUUCUGCAGUGACUUCCAUCACAGGUUGCUUCCCCAGCUAAUGCUGGUACCCAUCUAUACUCCUGGGUAUAGAGAGGCAAGCAGGGGUGAAGAGGAUUGCCAAGGGCCACAAUAUACUGUCACCUGCUGGAUUUGAACUUCCAACCCUAUGAUUGGAAGCCACAAACCCUAAUCACUUGACCACAUGAAAGA